rnacentral:rRNA from 1 species
GCGGUGGAUGAUGUGGAUUAAUUCGAUGACAACGACGAAAACCUUACCUACCCUUGACAUGUCCGGAAUCCCGAAGAGAUUUGGGAGUGCUCGCAAGAGAGCCGGAACACAGGUGCUGCAUGGCUGUCGUCAGCUCGUGUCGUGAGAUGUUGGGUUAAGUCCCGCAACGAGCGCAACCCUUGUCAUUAGUUGCUACAUUCAGUUGGGCACUCUAAUGAGACUGCCGGUGACAAGCCGGAGGAAGGUGGGGAUGACGUCAAGUCCUCAUGGCCCUUAUAGGUGGGGCUACACACGUCAUACAAUGGCUGGUACAAAGGGUUGCCAACCCGCGAGGGGGAGCUAAUCCCAUAAAGCCAGUCGUAGUCCGGAUCGUAGUCUGCAACUCGACUACGUGAAGUCGGAAUCGCUAGUAAUCGUGGAUCAGAAUGUCACGGUGAAUACGUUCCCGGGUCUU